rnacentral:rRNA from 1 species
CCUACGGGAGGCAGCAGUGGGGAAUAUUUGGCAAUGGGCGCAAGCCUGACCCAGCAACGCCGCGUGAAGGAAGACGGCUUUCGGGUUGUAAACUUCUUUUGUCAGGGACGAAGCACGUGACGGUACCUGACGAAUAAGCCACGGCUAACUACGUGCCAGCAGCCGCGGUAAUACGUAGGGGGCAAGCGUUAUCCGGAUUUACUGGGUGUAAAGGGCGUGUAGGCGGGACUGCAAGUCAGAUGUGAAAACCACGGGCUCAACCUGUGGCCAGCAUUGGAAACUGUAGGUCUUGAGUACUGGAGAGGCAGACGGAAGUCCUAGUGUAGCGGUGAAAUGCGUAGAUAUUAGGAGGAACACCAGUUGCGAAGGCGGUCUGCUGGACAGCAACUGACGCUGAGGCGCGAAAGCGUGGGGAGCAAACAGGAUUAGAUACCCGAGUAGUC